GUGGGGAAUCUUCCGCAAUGGACGAAAGUCUGACGGAGCAACGCCGCGUGAACGAUGACGGCCUUCGGGUUGUAAAGUUCUGUUAUACGGGACGAAUGGUACGACGGCCAAUACCCGUCGUAAGUGACGGUACCGUAAGAGAAAGCCACGGCUAACUACGUGCCAGCAGCCGCGGUAAUACGUAGGUUGCAAGCGUUGUCCGGAAUUAUUGGGCGUAAAGGGCGCGCAGGCGGCGUCGGAAGUCGGUCUUAAAAGUGCGGGGCUUAACCCCGUGAGGGGACCGAAACUGCGAUGGUAGAGGAUCGGAGAGGAAAGCGGAAUUCCUAGUGUAGCGGUGAAAUGCGUAGAUAUUAGGAGGAACACCAGUGGCGAAAGCGGCUUUCUGGACGACAACUGACGCUGAGGCGCGAAAGCCAGGGGAGCAAACGGGAUUAGAAACCCUGGUAGUCC
rnacentral:rRNA from 1 species